UACGUAGGGGGCGAGCGUUGUCCGGAUUUAUUGGGCGUAAAGCGCUCGUAGGCGGUUCGAUAAGUCGGACGUGAAAUCUCCACGCUCAACGUGGAGGGGCCGUUCGAUACUGUCGUGACUCGAGUCCGGUAGGGGAGUGUGGAAUUCCCGGUGUAGCGGUGAAAUGCGCAGAGAUCGGGAGGAACACCCGUAGCGAAGGCGGCACUCUGGGCCGGUACUGACGCUGAGACGCGAAAGCGUGGGGAGCGAACAGG
rnacentral:rRNA from 1 species